rnacentral:sRNA from 1 species
AGCAAUAGAAUAGGAAACUCAAGGGUGGUCAGCUCAUCCCCAAGCGAAAGGGGGUGGUGCUGUGACGGUAUUCGAAGCAUUAAUGUUUGCAUGUACUUUUGCAAGCUUAAUCAUUGCGAUCCUGUUGUUUAACCACAGAAAAUAAUCCACCCUUGAGCUUGACGGCCAGGUGGAUUAUUCCCAACAUUGUGCUGUCCCCCUAGAAGGGAAUUUCUAUUGCACUGACCGUAUGGUGUUACCAGCACCAACG